rnacentral:rRNA from 1 species
ACUUUGCCACAGAACUAUGAGCAUGCCUGAGCUCAGAAACUAAGCAGGCUCGGACCUGGUUCAUACUUGAAUGGGAGAUCACCUGGAAAUAGCAGAUGCUAUAGGCU